AACGAACGCUGGCGGCAUGCCUAACACAUGCAAGUCGAACGAAGGCUUCGGCCUUAGUGGCGCACGGGUGCGUAACGCGUGGGAAUCUGCCCUUUGGUUCGGAAUAACAGCUGGAAACGGCUGCUAAUACCGGAUGAUGACGAAAGUCCAAAGAUUUAUCGCCAGAGGAUGAGCCCGCGUUGGAUUAGGUAGUUGGUGGGGUAAAGGCCUACCAAGCCGACGAUCCAUAGCCGGUCUGAGAGGAUGAUCAGCCACACUGGGACUGAGACACGGCCCAGACUCCUACGGGAGGCAGCAGUGGGGAAUAUUGGAAAAUGGGCGCAAGCCUGAUCCAGCAAUGCCGCGUGAGUGAUGAAGGCCCUAGGGUUGUAAAGCUCCUUUACCCGGGAAGAUAAUGACUGUACCGGGAGAAUAAGCCCCGGCUAACUCCGUG
rnacentral:rRNA from 1 species